AGAAGGCCGUUGUGAAUUAACUAACUGCCCUACGACUUGAGAGCGGUUUGCUCUCAGUUCACCAUGUACAGUGUCAGUGCACCCUCAGGUUCCAGUGAUAAAACAGCUUCCGGUGGUAUGAUGGUUUUAGCAGGCAGAUCUGAGUUAUACUGGGGGGGUGGGGGGUUUUGCCUCAAACUGAGCUUCCAUAUGGGCAACCAAGAAAGGUGCCUGCAUGCUUUAAGUGGACGCUGGAAGUCAGAUUGCGAUUCAACUCCCGGGCAAUGCUGCCACAUUCAUCCUUUCAGCGCAUCCAAACCACUUUCGCAUGGAUGCAGCAGUGAGAGUAUAACUGCGCCCUCAGAAGCUGCCCGGGCCCCGCUGGAUGAAGGCAACUUUGCAACGCACACGCACCAUCCCAAACACCGAGCAAGAUGGGUUUAAACGCAUUGUGGCGAAGAAAGGCGUUUCCCUGAUAUUCCUGUGGGAAUCGCAGUGCUGGUGCAAUAAGCAGGACAACAUACGGAGAACCUUAACAAUGGGGGAAUAGUUAUCCAGUUGAUACAGCGGGAAGAUGUGGAGAUCUCCUAACAUAGUAUCUGUACAGCCAGUUUAUCUUAAAGAUACAGCACAGAGAAUGAAAACCCCGUACAGACACCAGGACAGAGACUGGGGGUACAAAUAAACAGCAAGGCAAAAACGCCACACAUUAAUCGGUACCAACAAGUCAUUGUUCUAUGUUUACACCUUCCAACUGGAGAAUAGGAAUAUCAUUAAAGAAGGAUUUGAGAUUAACAGAC